GACGAACGCUGGCGGCGUGCCUAAUACAUGCAAGUUGAGCGAUGAAGAUUGGUGCUUGCCCCAAUUUGAAGAGCAGCGAACGGGUGAGUAACGCGUGGGGAAUCUGCCUUUGAGCGGGGGACAACAUUUGGAAACGAAUGCUAAUACCGCAUAACAACUUUAAACAUAAGUUUUAAGUUUGAAAGAUGCAAUUGCAUCACUCAAAGAUGAUCCCGCGUUGUAUUAGCUAGUUGGUGAGGUAAAGGCUCACCAAGGCGAUGAUACAUAGCCGACCUGAGAGGGUGAUCGGCCACAUUGGGACUGAGACACGGCCCAAACUCCUACGGGAGGCAGCAGCAGGGAAUCUUCGGCAAUGGACGAAAGUCUGGCCGAGCAACGCCGCGUGAGUGAAGAAGGUUGUCGGAUCGUAAAACUCUGUUGGUAGAGAAGAACGUUGGUGAGAGUGGAAAGCUCAUCAAGUGACGGUAACUACCCAGAAAGGGACGGCUAACUACGUG
rnacentral:rRNA from 1 species